rnacentral:lncRNA from 13 species
AAUCGUCGUGAAAUCGUGGUCGUGUAAACUGAAGAAACGGCGUGAGAAACGCAGUAUAUUGCGCCGUGAAAGAUAACACGUUCACGUGUCCAAAUAAAUUUAUGUUACAGUGAGUGUUCGAAUGUCGCGGAUGUUGACAGGAACUUUUGGGAAAGCUUAACCACACGCCGAUAAAUUAAUUUCUAGGUCAAAGGCAGGAUUGUGAAAGAUCCAAAGACAGGGAUCCCUCGAAGAUUUGACGGCAGAUUAGAGGGGAAAAAUAGGAUUAUCGAAAAUCGUUUAAGGAUCCGACAAUCGAGGAAUCGCUACAAUGGCUGAAAGAACGCCGGUGGCUGACAGUGAAAAAGUGGAAGAAAUCGCGGCCGAUAAGACGCAGGAGGUCGACGCCAUUUUGUCGACAGGGACACCGGUUGUCACGAAAGACGGAAGCGAAAUUAAAAGUCGGACCAAGAGGAACAUCAUUGCCGUGCCGGAACGAGACGAGAGCGAGAGAGGCGGGAAGACGUAUCGCCGCGAUAAGAACGGACGUUGGAGGCUUGUAUUGUAUUGAUUAACGUUUCCCACGGAACGUAUCAGUGGAGAUUGCCAAUAAAUAAACAUUAUUUAAAUUCUCUAAAGAUAUCAAUUGACAUUUCAAACUGUACACGUAUAAAGUUCAAUUUAUUAUUUAAUACAUAAAAUUUGAUUUUAAAGCUUAAAAAGUCAAAUGCUAUCUAACAAAAGGAUAUAAAAAUUUAUUAUUAAUUAAUAUUCAUCGUGAAAUUGAAAGUACCAUUACAUGUGUUUAAAAAUAUUUUCGUUUUUUAUUUAUAAAUUUUUGUGUACUGUCUAUUUUACGUUUAACGUGCUUAGGGUGGAAAAUUAAUAAACCAAUAGUAAAUAAUUUUUUUAGGCAUAUAAAUAAAUACUCGGUACGCAAACUUCUCAUUUAGGAUUAUAAUAACAUAAUUUUAAUUUUGUAAAAAGAAAUUAUAAGUGCCUAAUUUUAUUAUAAAAUUAUAAAAUAUUCAUACAAAAAUUAAUUGAUUUAAAAAACAACGAAUAUAUUGGUUAUUGGAUUUAUAAGUGUUAAAAGUUGGCGAUCUAUUCUAUUUUUUUUUUUUACAUUUCUAGGAUUAAACGUUAAAAUUUUUCAUCUAAAAGCUACUUUGUUAUAAAAGUUCAAUAUUGUUAAAUCGUAAAUCCAGCUUUCCUUUUAAAUCUGCAAGUAACUUUCACUGAAUCUAAAAAAAAUUAAAUUUAAAAAAAAAUUCUCACAGUAAAAACGCGGUUUCUCGAAAAAGGAAAGAAAUUAAAUUUUUCUGUACAGAGAAAUUGAUAAAUUUUCACCAUUUAAAGUUGUAUUUGAUCCGAAAAAUUAGAUUUUAUAUAAAAAAAAGCUAAGUGAUUUUUGUUUGAAAAAAAAAUCAAAUCGUCUCUCCGGUAAAAUUUUUUCCAAUUUAGAAACUAGAGAUAUAUUGAGCUUGUUUUAAGCUAUACCGCUACGUAACUAAAAGCGAAACUUUAUAUUCGCGGCAAAAGUCAAAUAUUUGUUGUACUGAAAAACCAAAUUCUAUCAUCAUAAAAGUCAAUCGUUUCUUGUCCAACAGUUUUUUUUUCCCUCUAUAGAAAGCUAACCAUCUAUAAAAUUGACUUCAUAAAAUAUGAAUCAAGUUUUUUUUCUGCUUUGAAGAAAAAAAUUUGAACAACAGUAAGUAAAUAAAACUGCUUAUUGCUCAUUA